rnacentral:rRNA from 1 species
UAAGCAUAUCAAUAAGCGGAGGAAAAGAAACCAACAGGGAUUGCCCUAGUAACGGCGAGUGAAGCGGCAACAGCUCAAAUUUGAAAUCUGGCUCUCGGGCCCGAGUUGUAAUUUGUAGAGGAUGCUUUUGAUGCGGUGCCUUCCGAGUUCCCUGGAACGGGACGCCAUAGAGGGUGAGAGCCCCGUCUGGUUGGAUGCCAAAUCUCUGUAAAGCUCCUUCGACGAGUCGAGUAGUUUGGGAAUGCUGCUCUAAAUGGGAGGUAUAUGUCUUCUAAAGCUAAAUACCGGCCAGAGACCGAUAGCGCACAAGUAGAGUGAUCGAAAGAUGAAAAGCACUUUGAAAAGAGAGUUAAAAAGUACGUGAAAUUGUUGAAAGGGAAGCGUUUAUGACCAGACUUGGGCUUGGUUAAUCAUCUGGGGUUCUCCCCAGUGCACUUUUCCAGUCCAGGCCAGCAUCAGUUUUCCCCGGGGGAUAAAGGCUUCGGGAAUGUGGCUCUCUUCGGGGAGUGUUAUAGCCCGUUGCGUAAUACCCUGGGGGGGACUGAGGUUCGCGCUUCUGCAAGGAUGCUGGCGUAAUGGUCAUCAACGACCCGUCUUGAAACACGGACCAAGGAGUCGUCUUCGUAUGCGAGUGUUCGGGUGUCAAACCCCUACGCGUAAUGAAAGUGAACGCAGGUGAGAGCUUCGGCGCAUCAUCGACCGAUCCUGAUGUUCUCGGAUGGAUUUGAGUAAGAGCAUACGGGGCCGGACCCGAAAGAAGGUGAACUAUGCCUGUGUAGGGUGAAGCCAGAGGAAACUCUGGUGGAGGCUCGCAGCGGUUCUGACGUGCAAAUCGAUCGUCAAACAUGGGCAUGGGGGCGAAAGACUAAUCGAACCUUCUAGUAGCUGGUUUCCGCCGAA